UAUUAACUGGCCAUCCUUCAUCACAAAUUGUCAUCCUUACAAAAGACCCGCUUGCCUUGAAGCCCUCGUGUUUAUGGUUAUUUACUUUUGAAGGUAUUUUUCGUACCUUGCAUUGGAAUGAUGCCAUCCCGCCCAAAUUUGGGUUUAAACUUGGUACGCGUCUGCCCUAAUUAAGUUCCUUGAUGGAAGAAGUUCAAAUUCAGAAAUGGAAUUCACCGAGCUUGAGUGCUGCGCAGACUCCUUGGAUGCCUCUGCCAUCUUCCACGUCAUCAAAGAUGUCUUUGGCUUCGUUCUCUAUAUGCACCAGCAAAUCCCUUCCAUUUUGCAGGAUAUGAGCCUUGAAUUUGAGUCACUACAGAGCGAGCAUAAGGAGUUGGAGAUGGCUUUAAGACAAAGCGAAUUGAAGGCAUCAUCUCGAAGAAAUCACACUAGCAGAAUGAGAGAACUCAAGCGUGGGACUAGAAGAGUGGAGAAGUUGAUGAACACUGUUUCUAGUUUCCAGACUGCACUGCAACUGAUCAUAAGUGAGAAUCCUAAUAUACAGGAAGUCAUUUUGGUUCUUGGAGGUAGUCCAUUACGACCUCAACAUGUUUAUCAGUUGUUCUUUUCCCAUGGAAAGUCUGUACCCAGAGAUGGAGUUGACUUCACUAAGAGCAAAGUGGCAGAAGGGCUUUCACGAAAGGCUAUUCGAGCGUUGAUCUCAAAGGGUGCUGGAUCUGGUUCUUAUCCAGGGCCUUCUAAGUUGUUUCUCUUGGUUAAAGCUCCCUCUUCUUUGAAUAUGCCUCUGCAUUUUCUUCCAAAACGUGACUUCAGAUGCAGCAAAAAGAUUUUACCAUUGAGGCUGUGGUUAAAGUGUAAAACAAAAGAUCAGGAUAUUGGAUCUCCCAGUCAUGCUUCUCAAACCUGUAGCACCAAUGGUUUGACAGGUUCUAAUUCAGAUGAUUUGAUCUGGUUUCAGUGCCGACAUGUAAUAAAAGGCAUGGCAUUCAAUACACCUGAAGAAUAAGAAAGCUCUUCUCCCGGCAUUAUAAAGAUUACAGAGCAUAUCUUUUAGUGAAGUGCUCUUGCAAUUGCAUGGCCUGGCCUCUCAGAUCUUACAUUUUUCUUUUAUCUUGAUGGCAAUCAAUUCGUCUGAAAUUUUCACACAACCGAAAAUAUUAAUGUAGACAUGUCCGAGGUUGUCCCCGCAGUUGGAAAAAGGAAUGACCUCCAAUUUUGAGGGUCAUGUUAGGCUUGCAGGUUGUUCUUGGGUUUUAGAGUCUGGUUAGGGGCACAAAAUUUAAAAAAGUUAAAAAUUUUAAAUAUAUAUAAUAUGAUGGAUUGACAUAUUAAAAUAUGUGAUUUGACCUCUUAAAAGCUUAUGAAAUUAUGUCUUACGUUUGCACAGUCUGCA